rnacentral:rRNA from 1 species
CCUCCUAAAAGGUAACGGAGGCGCUCAAAGGUUCCCUCAGAAUGGUUGGAAAUCAUUCAUAGAGUGUAAAGGCAUAAGGGAGCUUGACUGCGAGACCUACAAGUCGAGCAGGGUCGAAAGACGGACUUAGUGAUCCGGUGGUUCCGCAUGGAAGGGCCAUCGCUCAACGGAUAAAAGCUACCCCGGGGAUAACAGGCUUAUCUCCCCCAAGAGUUCACAUCGACGGGGAGGUUUGGCACCUCGAUGUCGGCUCAUCGCAUCCUGGGGCUGUAGUCGGUCCCAAGGGUUGGGCUGUUCGCCCAUUAAAGCGGUACGCGAGCUGGGUUCAGAACGUCGUGAGACAGUUCGGUCCCUAUCCGUCGUGGGCGUAGGAAAUUUGAGAGGAGCUGUCCUUAGUACGAGAGGACCGGGAUGGACAUACCUCUGGUGUACCAGUUGUCGUGCCAACGGCAU